rnacentral:rRNA from 1 species
UACAGAGGUGGCGAGCGUUAUUCGGAAUUAUUGGGCGUAAAGGGCGCGUAGGUGGCUGGGCAAGUCAAAGGUGAAAUCCCUCGGCUCAACUGAGGAACUGCCUUUGAAACUGCCCGGCUUGAGGCCGGGAGAGGGUAGCGGAAUUCCCAGUGUAGCGGUGAAAUGCGUAGAUACUGGGAGGAACACCGGUGGCGAAGGCGGCUACCUGGACCGGUUCUGACACUGAUGCGCGAAAGCGUGGGGAGCAAACAGG